UAUUCAUCCAGAGCAGCCGAGGGAAUGGCCCUAUGACGCUGCGGCAACCCCCAUAGCGGGAAGGUGCCAAGUCCAACGGAUUUCUAUCCGGCAGAUGAAAU
rnacentral:ncRNA from 2 species